rnacentral:rRNA from 1 species
GACGAACGCUGGCGGCGUGCUUAACACAUGCAAGUCGAACGGAAAGGCCCUGCUUUUGUGGGGUGCUCGAGUGGCGAACGGGUGAGUAACACGUGAGUAACCUGCCCUUGACUUUGGGAUAACUUCAGGAAACUGGGGCUAAUACCGGAUAGGAGCUCCUGCUGCAUGGUGGGGGUUGGAAAGUUUCGGCGGUUGGGGAUGGACUCGCGGCGUAUCAGCUUGUUGGUGGGGUAGUGGCUUACCAAGGCUUUGACGGGUAGCCGGCCUGAGAGGGUGACCGGCCACAUUGGGACUGAGAUACGGCCCAGACUCCUACGGGAGGCAGCAGUGGGGAAUAUUGCACAAUGGGCGGGAGCCUGAUGCAGCAACGCCGCGUGCGGGAUGACGGCCUUCGGGUUGUAAACCGCUUUCGCCUGUGACGAAGCGUGAGUGACGGUAAUGGGUAAAGAAGCACCGGCUAACUACGUG